UUUUCUCCUGAUACUUUUAUAUGUAAUUCAUUUAAAAAUUUAAUCCAUUUAUUAUAAUAACUUUUUAAAAAUUGUGUAAUUUUUUAUUCUGCAACUAUAUUUGAGAAAUAGGUGUAUUAGGAGAUGGAUUUUACUUUACUUGGGGAAAAUCAAUUAAGCUUUCUAAGUCCCACUGUGCUAAUGCUGGAAUAAGCUUUUAUUAUGUUGAGAUAUAUUCCCUCUAUACCCACUUUAGGAAAGGUUUUUAUCAUAUAUUGGUGUUGAAUUUUAUCAAAUGCUUUUUCUGCAUCUAUUGAGAUGAUCAUGUGUUUUUUUAACCUUUCUCUUGUUGAUGUGGUGUAUCACAUUGAUUGAUUUGCGUAUGUUGAACCAUCCUUGUGUUCCUGGGAUAAACCCAACCUGAUCGUGGUAUAUGAUCUUUUUAUGUGCUGUUGGAUUCUGUUUGCUAAUAUUUUGUUGAGGAUUUUUGCAUCUAUGUUCAUCACUGGUACUGGCCUCUAAUUUAAUGCUGGUAUAAGAAUUGAUGAUGAGAUACAAUUUUUUUAUAUACAAUAUUUAUGCUCUUUCUCCAGAUCCUCACUUGGCUGGUUCUUUCUCAAUAUUCAGAUCUCUGCAUGAAUGUCACUUGCUCAGAUAGGCUGUGUCUGACCACUCUGUCUAGAUCCUCUCCAGUCACUCUGGUGAAGACUGUACCCAUCGUUCUGUAUUGUUGUCCCUGUUUAAUUUUCUUCUGCUAUGACAUUCUGUGAAAGAAACUUACUUAUCCACCAGUAUCUCUUGAAAUUAUAAAUUAAAAAGAAGGCAAGUGAAGAAUAUUACAAUUUAAUAUAAAAAUGAAAUUGUGGAAUCAUCUAAUUCCAGGGACAUAGGUUGACCACACUUAAUGAUGGUAAAAAUAGAACUAUUAACCUAUUCACAUCAGCCUUUUGAUAGUUGUUUUAUUAAGGUUUUGUGUUAUAAGCUUAUGCUGAUAAAAGUGAUAUCUUGUAUUUUGGAAUACUCACUCUGUGCUAGCCAUCAUGGUAAGCACAGAUAUCUCAUUUAAUUCCUACAACAACCCUUUCAGAAAGGGAUUUUCAUCCUCAUGUUCACAGAUGAGGAAACUUGGGGAGGUUAAGUGAUUUGACCAAGAGAAAAGUAUUGGUAGAUGACUGAACUGAAAUUACGAUUAUGAACAUCAAAAUUCUUGGCUUUAUAAAUCUGAUAGUAUACCACCAGAAGUUUAUAGAGAGGUUAUGAAAGCAGAGUUGAUAAGAUGUUCAUCUAGGAAAUGAUAUCAGAAGUAAACCCUUUUUAUCUUGUUGGAUUAGUGAAGCUGUCUUAUGGUAAAUAGUUUGCUUGAUUGAUUGUGGGACAUCUCGAUAGAGGUUAAACUAAGAGAGGACAGAUGUGUCAUGGACUUUGGGGACUCUGUACCUCCAAAGGCAGAUUGAGUGGAAACCUCAAGGCCCAGUGAAGGGGAGUAGGCCCUAAGUUGUAGGUCAGUUUGGAGAGGUUAUAGGGCUUAAUGUUUAUAGAUUUAUUUAGACACUUAAUUUGCAGCUGAGUAGAUUAAGUCUCCUCUUAAACCUCACCUGAGUGUUUCUGGGAGUUUUUAACACCUCUGAUUUGAAAUAUAGUACUUUAAUAUUAUAACCAAACUCUAUGUUUUCAGUCACAUGUACUGUUCUUUUCCACAUACCCUAAAUCCCAGUUGAAAUCAUUUGCCAAAUCCUCUGUAGACCUUUUUAGCAACCCAAGGGAAUGGAUGUCUAGAUUAUUUUUCCCUCAUACAUUUGCCUGUGAACAUUCCACCAUUCUAUAAGGCCUUUCAAAAUGCCCUUUCUUAGAGAAAGCUGCUUCUGAUUGUGCUAACUCCUUGUGAACCACCCCCAUAAUUAAUUUGUAAAUACUUCUUUCUUUACACUUGGCCUAAUACCUUUUAUUAUUUUCUCGUCUGAUUCCAUCUAGUAGACUUUAAGCCAGAGGGUAGACUGAUUUUAAAUCAUGUCUGCAGAUUCUUUGCUAUUUCCUCAAUCAAGAGGUAAAAUACCAACUUCACUUCUCUUGAGCAUGAGCUGGCCCUACUAAUUUCUAACUAAUGCAGCCAAAGGGAUGCUGUGUAACUUCCGAGACAUGGUUAGAAAAGGCAGUGCUGCUUCUUCAUGGCACUAUCGGGAAGCUCUCUCAUGGAACCAAGUUUCCUUGCUGUGAGGAGGCCCAGGCCACAUCAGCUGCCAGACACGUGCAUGAGGAAGCCUUCUGGAUGACUCCAGUCCCAGCCACUGGCAGCCUGCAACCAUCUGAGAGACCCCAAGCGAGAACCACCUGGCUGGGUGUACUCAACCUCCAGGAUUGUGAGAGAUGAUAACAUACGGUAUUGCUGUUUCAUGCCACUGAAGUUGGGGAUGCUUUGAUACACAGCAAUCAAUAACUAGAACAGAGACCUUCCCUAGAAACACUGGAGAACCUCUCCUGGAAUGGUCCUUCACCAUUUCCGUGUUUGGCCACUUGCUUCUCAAGCAGUGGCCAAGGUGUGUGUUUUCUCUAAAUCCCCCGUCGACCCAGGCUGCUUAUCUACUGAAAGCUUCUCUUUGUCUCAGUAUCCUGAUGCUUUUGAAAAUCCUUGCAGUUAAGAGAAACGUGUAGACAACUUUGCAAAAAUUGGCAAGUAUUAAAUCGAUAAAAUUACUACUAAAUUCAAGCAAGCAAGAAAGUGGUUAAAACAGUUUGAAACAGUUAACCCGUUCUCUUUAAGCCCUUCCUGAAUGUCAGUGGCUUGUUUUAGAGAUUUAUUAGCCACUUACAUGCCGCUUAGUUCAUAUUCAGUUUUGCUUAUUAAUCAUAGGAGCUGAAAUGGGCUGCUUAAAAUUGUUUUGAGCUUAAGGUAAAGCAAAGGAAAAGGUAUCUUGGUUGACAGUUCUAAUGAUUCAUCCCCUAGAUAUUUAAAAAUAAAUUUUUUUCAGCAAAAUACUGGAUAUUGGUUAUAGAAAUUUUCAAAAAUACAAGUAAAGCACAAAGGAGAAAACAUGUUUUUCCUUUCUGCAUCUCCCCAGGGAUUUUUUUUUUCUUCUUAAUAUGUUGAUAUAUGUCAUUCCAGACUUUUCUAUGCCUGUGUAUUCAUGGGAUGCCAUUAUAUAAUAUCAGAUCAUGUGACUCCUCUCCUAAAAAUCCUUCAUGGAUCCCAUCUUACUCAAAGUCACAGCUGAGGUCUUUACCAUGACCUAAAUGACCCUAUGAUGUCUGGGGUGUGUGUGCAUGCAUACACAGAUGUUUACAUUCCAGUCGCUCUUUCUCUCAUUUCCCCCACUCUCCUUCUUCCCCUGAGGCCACACUGGUCUUUUGAUGUUUCUAAAGUAUACCAGGCGAGCCCCUACCCUAGGGCCUUUGCACUUGCUCUUCCCUCUAGCUGUGGCACUUCCUUCAGGUCUCUGCAGGCUUCCCCUGUAACAGAUUUUGUUACUUUUGCUCAGCUGUUGCCUCAUCAGAGAGACCUUAACCUUACAAUAUAAAAUGAGAACACCUUACCACCUUGUUGGUCUGCCAGCACCCUCAUAUUCCCUAUUUACCUUACCCUGCUUUACUCUUUCCAUAUCAUCUGACAAAUUUGGCCCAUAAGCCUUAGUUUGCUGGCUUGUGUUCUAGGAGAUUUAGGUGUUAUAUCUAGUCUAUGAUUCAUUUCCAGUUUUUUUUUUUUUAACACAGUGCAAAGUAUGAGUUGAAGUAUGUCUUUUUUUUUUCUUUUUGCAUAUGAAAGCCCAGUUAUUUUAGCACAACUUGUUAAAAUGACUGUUCUUACUCUGAUUAAUUAUAUUUGUAUUAUGUCAAAAAUCUGUUGUCCGUACAUGUGUGGAUUCAUUUCUAGAUUCUCUAUUCUGCUUGUUUUUCUGCCCUUCCCCACUACUACAUUGUCUUGAUUGCUGAAGCUUUGUCUUGAAAUGAGGCAGUGUGAGUCCUCCAACUUUAUUCUUUUUUUCCAAAAUAUUUUAGUUUUUCUUGUUUUCCCUCCCUCCUCCCUCCCUUCUUCCUCCCUCCAUCCACCCCCCCGCCCCCGGCCCCGUCUCUCUUGUUAUGUUGGCUAGGAUCUCCAGUAUGAUGUGAAUGGAAGUACUAAAAGCUGAGAACCUUACUUGUUCUUGAACUUGAAAGGAAAGCAUUCAGUCUCACUACUAAGGUUUUGUUAGCUGUAGUUUUUUUGUAGAUGCCUUUUAUAAAACUGAGCAACUUGCCUUUUGUUCCUGUUCCCUAGGAGGAUUUAUUAUGAGUGAAUAUUGAAUUUUGUCAAAUGCUUUUUCUCUGUUGAAAUGAUAGUAAGAUUUUUCUUUAAUCUGCUAAUAUGAUAAAUUCACUGAUUGAUUUUAAAUCUUGAACCAACGUUUUAUAUAUUUCUGGAUUCAGUUUGCUAAUAUUAGUUAAGGGUUUUUUUUUUUUUUGCAUCUAUGUCCAUGAGGGAUAUUGGUUUGUAGUUUUCUUGCAGUAUCUUUGGUUUUGUUAUCAGGAUAAUGAAGGGCUCAUUAAAAUAAUUGGAAAGUGUUCCUUCCUCUUUUAUUUUAUUUUUUUAAAUAAAUUAUUUUUAUUUUAAAUACAUAAAAUAAAUUAUUUAUAUAAAAUUAUUUUAUUUUAAAAUAUUUUAAAUUCUAUUUUAUUUCAUUUUUAUUUUAUACAGAAUGCUGUAAAAUUUCCUCUGUGCCCUGCUUUAGCAAUAGCCCACAAACUGAUAUGUUGUUGGUUGAAAAAGAUGAAAACUAAUAUAUUGUUGGUUGAAUGAAAAGAUGAAAGGUUGUAGGAUGAGGUGGGUAGUCUAUAUUGGGAGUAUAAAUAACAUUUGUCACAUUAGGCUUGAGCCAACUGCUUGUCCCUUGAGGCAGGUGGAUACUCUGAGUGAAGGCAAAGAAUUCUUCCAAAUCAGGCUGGAGUCUCUGAAGAGAACAGACUGACCAUUGCCACAGGGAAAACCCCAGUAUCUGUUCCCACUCCUAAGUGAGCUUAUAAUGUCUGUACUAUAGUGAUUUCAGCGGAAGUAUUUUGUUGACUUCAGGUAGUUUCCAAUUUUUAUAAGACUGAAGGAUUGGGGUUAAUAAAUAAAAGGAAAUUUCAAUAUCAUAAAAACCUACUGUCUGAAGUAUAUAAAGUAACAGCUGUCACUUUAAAUUUUUGUCAGUGAGGUCAGGUUGGAAAUGAAAAUAAUCUAUCAGUCAGUUAGAUUUAGAGCAGUAACUGGACUGAGAAAAACACGAGGGGUUUUGCCUUUUCUUAAAUUGCAGAGUUGGUGAGAGAGUGAAAAUACAACAGUGAGAACAUGUGAACGCAUUCUGUGAAACCAUGAGGUGAUGGCUAGGGGGCACCAAAGUACGGUAACAAAUAAGAUUAGCAGUAAAGCAGAAGAAAAUCUGAGAUACCAGGAAAUUAAUCUUCUGCCAUGUUGGGUAGAAGCCGUCUGCUUUGUCAUCAUCUCCUCCAUCUGACAGGGUCUUUGGUUAGCAGUCUCCAUCUGCAGAGCAUCUGCUCCUGGAGGAUUUUUAAGGCUUGAGAGCUUCAGAUCUCCUGGAAAGGUCUAUUUCAUCAAGACUCAAAGUUUUAGGGGAAAAAAAAAGUUGAAGAGGCAAUAUGUGUAAAGCUCGAGACUUUAAAAAAAAUCAUUUGAAUUUUAUCUGGACUGGAUGAAUAUAGAUAAUCACCUUCAUGGGCUAAGAGGAUCACUGAAAUUUGGAUGCUACAGUUUCCCUUGGAUCUCCUUUGUGAUCAUCCAGAGGCUUCUAGUUCUUCCUCUUUUGGGCUCGAAUGGGGCAACUUUCCAGUUAACUUUUAUUUAUAGUGUCAAGCUUUUGCAUCUCCUGGACCCACCAAAGGGAAGAACUGCUUGAAUGAGGUCAAGAAGGUUUGGAAUAUAUGGACAAGGACAGGACUUGGAAAGUCCUCAACCAUGACACAAAGAUCUGAAUGUAACCAGGAUUAGAAGAUGACAUACUAGUAAAUAUUAAGGACCUCUUCAUGUAGAGGUUUCUGUUUUAAGGGACUUUGAGUUAUUACGGAUAGUUCUGAAGAUAGAAAAGGAAAGAAGAGAAAGGAAAUAACAGGGUUUAGGUGGAUCCACAAGUGAGACAGAUUUUAAAUGUUUUGUGUUUUAUUGGUCUGGGGAAGAGUUUGAGGUAAGUUGUAGAAUCUGGACUUCAUUUAGAAACCUCUCCUACCAAUUUUUAGCUUUAUUUGAAAUUAAUUUUAUACUCACAAGGAAUUGCAAAAAAAAUAGGACCAAGAAUUUCUGUGUACCUUCACCCAGAAUUCCCCUGAUGCUCCAGUGGUAAGAUCUUACAUAACCAUAAUUCAUUAUCAAAAACAAGUUGACAGUGGUACAGUUCUUUAAACUACACGUCUUAUUCAAAUUUUACCAAGUUUUACAUGGCAUUCCUUUCUUUUUAACAUAUAGUUCUAUGAAAUUUGUUCACAUGUAUAGAUUCCUAUAACUACCACAAUAAUCAGGAUACAGAACUUCCCUAUCACCACAAAGAAACUCUCAUGCAACCUUUUCAUAAUCAUACCUUCUCCAUAGUUGUAACACUGACAACCACUGAUCUGUUCUGUAUCACUAUAACUUUGUCAUUUCAACAUGGAAAUGUAUUUCUCUAAAUGAAAUUAUACAAUAUAUAACCUUGACAAUUGGCUUUUUUUAUUCAGUAUAAUAGUGUUGAGAUCCUUUCAACUAACUGCAUGUAUCAGUAGUUUGUUCCUUUUUUAUUGCUGAUGUGGUAUUCCAUUGUAUGGGUGUACCACACUUUAUCCAUUCACUUUUUGUAGGACAUUUUGAUUGUUUCCAAUUUUCAGCUAUUAGAAAUAAAACUACUAUAAACAUUCAUGUACAGGUUUUUGUGUAGACAUGUGUUUUCAUUUCUCUAGGAUAAAUACCCAGGAAUAUGAUUGCUGAGUUUUACGGUAAGUCUAUGUUUGACUUAAUAAGAAACUGCCAAGCUCUUUUCCACAGUUUAUGUACCAUUUUAUAUUCCCACCAGCAACUCAUGAGAGAUGCAGUUGCUCUAUAUCCUCACCAGCAGUUGGUAUUGUGGAUUUUUUCAUGCCACCUAGUAGGUUUCAUAUUGAAUUUUAUGUCUUAUUACUCUUGCAUUUGUUUUUUUAAACUUUUUUAUUGAUUUAUAAUCAUUUUACAAUGUUGUGUCAAAUUCCAGUGUAGAGCACAAUUUUUCAGUUAUACACUAACAUAUAUAUAUUCAUUGUCACAUUUUUUUCUCUGUGAGCUACCCACUCUUGCAUUUAGAGAGUUCAUUAUAUAUAUUCUGAAAUGGGUCUUGUGAGAAUUGUGAAUUGAAAAUACUUCUCCUAAUCCAUGUCUUGUAUUUUCACUCUCUUAACAGGAUCUUUCUCUUAGCAAAAGGAUUUGGUAUUGAUAAACUCAAAUUUAUGGUAUUUUUCUUUUGUGGAUCAUGAUUUUGGUGUCAUGGCUAAGAACUUUGCCUAACCCAUGCAAUUCUCUCCUAUGUUGUCUUCUAAAAGAUUCAUGAUUUCACUUUUCACAUUUGAUCUAUGAUCCACCUUGGGUUAAUUUUUUUGUCAAGUGUGAGUGUAGGUUGAAGUUCAUUUUUAUAAAAGCCUUGGAAUGUACAGUUAUGCUAACACCAUUUGUUGAAAAACCAUACUUUCUCCUUGGACUUGCUUUUGCCCUUUUGUCAAAAUCUGUGCUUUGGGUUAUUUCAGGCAUUUUUCUCUUUUGUCCUGUCCCUCCACCAAUACUACAUUGUCUUGAUUACUGUAGCUAAAUAAGUAGCUAUUAGAAAGUUGGGUAGUAUGAUUCCACCAACUUUUCUCUUUCCAAAAUUUUUUGUUUUGUUUUUAUAUUUCCAUAUAUAAACUUAGAAAGCUUCUCUAUUACAAAAAAUCUUUCUGAGAUUUCAAUAAAAUUGCAUUAAGCCUGUAGAUCAGUUGGGGAUGAUUGACAUUUUUAAUGUGUUGAGUAAUUUCUCAGUCCAUAAACACAGUAGGUUUCUUUAUUUAUUUAGGUCUCUUAAAAAUAUUUUCAUCAGAGUCUUGUGGUUUUCUUCAUACUAAUCCUGUACAUGUUUUGUUAGAUUUAAACUAUAGCAUUUCUCUUUUUUAAGAGCAAUUACAUGUGGUUUUGUGUUUUUAAUUUCAGUUUUGAUAUGUUUGUUGCUAGUGUAUAGAAAUCCGGUUGAUUUUUGAAGGUGACUCUUAUACCUUGCAACCCUGUAAAAAUUGUAAGUGGUCCCCUUUCUUCUGUUUCCUGGAAGAAUUGGUAUAUAGUUGCUGUUAUUUACUCUUUUAAUGUUUGAUACAGUUUAGCAGUGAAACCACCUGGCUUAGAGAUUUAAGAAACUGUAGAUUUAAUUUUUUUUAGUAUUUAUGACACUUCAGGAUGUCUGUUUCAUUUGGGGUGAAUUUUGAUAGUUUGUAGCUUUUGAGGAAUUGGUUGAUUUCAUCUGAGUUGUUGAGUUUAUGGGCAUAGAGUUGUUUGUUUUAUUCCCUUAUUAUCUUUUUAAUGUCUGCUGGGUCUGCAGUGGUAUUCCCUCUUUCAUUCAUGAUGCUGGUAAUUUGUUUUCACCUUUCUUGUGGACAGAAAAAUGCCUUUUUUUUCUAUUGUGCCAAUUUCUUUUUAUUUACAUGUAUAAACUGUUUACAUGUAAUAUAGUUUUGAUAUGUUGGGAUUUGUCUGCUAUUUUGUGUUCUCUUUGUUCCUUCUGUUUUUCAUUGAUUUUUCCUAUCUUCUUGGGGGUACUUGAACAUUUUGUUACUAUUCCAUUUAAAUUUAUUUAUAAUGUUUAUAAGUAUAUCUCUAUAAUUUUUAAAGUGGUUAUUCUACAUUUACAUAAAUAAUAUAUAUAAGUCUACCAGUAUCAGCGUUAUACCACUUCAAAUGGAAUGUAGAAACAGACCAUUGAACAGUUGGAAUUCCAUUUCCUCUUUGUGCUAAUGUGCCUGUCAGAUGAACAGCAUUGCUCUUGUCAGAUUUCUUCAGAGUGACCACUGCAAUACAUAAUUGUCUUUCAUGAAAUUAUGCAACUUGGAAAGAUGUGUGCCUUAUUUAGCAGUGUAACAGGUAUCAUGAAGGAAAAGGUAUUUGGCCUGAAAGGACUGUAAGCUUAAGACUAAAAAGUUCUCACAAGGAUCAUUGCAUUGAUAAUAUGCUUGUGCAAUGGCAUGUCUCCAGAAUCUGGCCAAGGACAGCUAUUGUCAACUGAGGACUCAUUUAAAGAAAAGAAAAGAAGCAGCUCUAGGAAGACACAACUAUAGGAAGUAAGUCUUAAAAUACCUUAAAAAGUGACUGUUGUGGAUUGAAUUGUCUUCCAGAAAGCUGUGUUGAAGUCUAAACCCUAGGUACUUGUGAAUGUGACAUUAUUUGGAAAUAGGGUAAAGUUAAGAUGAAGUCAUACUGGAUUAGGGUGGAUUCUAAAUCCAAUGACUGGUGUCUUCAAAAAAGAGAGGGAGAUUUGAAGACACACAAGGAAGGACAUAGGCCAUGUAAUGACAGAGGCAGAGAUUGGUGUGCUGCAACUGUAAGCAAAGGAACACCAAAGAUUGCAGCAGCCCAGAAUCUAGGAAGGAUUCCCUAGAGGCUUCAGAGUGAGCACAGGCCUGCUGCCAUCUUGAUUUCAGACUUCCAGUCUUCAGCAUUGUGAGAGAAACUGUUGCUCUUGUUUUAAGCCACCCAGUUUGUGGUAAUUGUUGUAGCAGCAGCAAACUAAUACUGUGACCCAAGGCAGAGUUUGUUCCAAGGAUAUAAAGAUGAAGAGAUGAGAUAUUCUGAACUCAGCAGCCAUCAGAACCAGCCUUGUUGGCAAUUUAUCUGGUCUGUGUCCCUCUCUGUAGGCUUUUCUGUUCCAGAGGAGUGAUAGUCAAGACAGUGGAUGACUGGGCAGAUAGUAGGAAUGCUGAGUUAAAAGUUUAGCAGCCAGAUUUUACCAAGAUGAUCAGAAUUCAAAAGUCUUAGAAAUUAAAUUCAAACCUAACACUGAAGGGCUCAACAAAUUAUUUGGAGUUCACAUUCAGCCUGUGUUGCCUUGGAAAGGGUGGCUUUGAGACUGUGGAGAUUCAAGGAGUUUGAAAUUUGCCCACCACUUCGAAGUCAAGCGUGGUUUGUGGCAGGGAAGGACCUAAGCCAGAUCUCAGGAAGCUCCACUCUUCUCAAAGGUCACCAACCAAAGACCACCAUGAACACACCUGAGGUCAACAUAAGGUUUCUUUAGCUAGGUGAGGAACCAAGGGGCAUUUGUGUAAGAGAAUUGGAACAAGCUUAUAAAUUUGGACUUGUGCUGGGUGAUUCAAAGAAGAGUUAACAUAAAUAGAGUCUGGUAGUGAUCUGAGUGCUGUCAGGAGCUUGGGGCUAGUCAGUAAUUACGUACCUUGGUAAUUUUACCUAGGAGUCAGUAUGCUUAAAGCAGAGCUAGAUUAAUGGUUGGGGAAAAAAAAAAAAAAACACGUAUCAGAAGAGGGAGGUGUAUAAUUGCUUUAGUGGUUGCAGUGUUUCUGUCCGCUGUUUGGGACAUGCCCACUGAGUGGUUGGGGUGUGUCUCAGUCCACUGCGUUCACAGAGCUGCUUUGUCUGAUCGGUGUUGCUGUAUUGUGAUCAUUGUUUAUAUUCAGAUGGGAAAGACACAGUUUUUCUAUUAGUUGCCAAGGCCAUUUUUCCGUUUCUAGGGGUCUGGCCUGGAGAUAGCAUAUGUCACUUCUGCCUACAUUCCAUUGGUUAGGACAUAGUCAAGUGCACAAGAGGCUAGGAAGUAGGUUUUAGCUGAGUGCCAGAAGGAAAUGUGAAUUAAGUUUAGUAAUUACAUAACAUAACACUCUAUUGUUUGGGGUUGUUUUGUUAAAUUAUUUUCUCCCUUUAUCCCCAUCCCCACUCCCAUAGACGUGCACCUUAGUAUUUAAUAUGUCCCUCUAGUCUGUCUACCUUCUAUAUAGUUAACUAGAUUUUUUGAAUCUUUGAACGAUACGUAGGAUUGCUUUGAGUGUGUUCUUAAAAUGUAAACAAAUAUUCAUUGUUUAUCAUUCUGAUUAUUUUUGCUGUAUGUUUUUGAGAUCUAUUUUUGCUGCUGCAUAUAAAUCUAAUUCAUAGAUUGCAUCAAAAUACACUAUUUUAUUCAUAUUCAUUCAAUAUUUUACCUACCAUUUCACCAUGUACAAAAAGUUUAAAGCUCUGCUAAUUAAAUAGUCAUAUUUAGUCUUCUAGUUAUUUUUGCUGCAUAAUAGAGCAUCCCUUAGAGGCUUAAGGUAAUGACAGUCCUUUUAUUUUAUUCACAAAUCUGCAAUUUGGACUGGGAUUGGCAGAGACAGCUCAUCUCUGCUCCAUGCAGUAUCAGCUGGAGCUGGCAGUGACUCAGCUGGUUGGGACUGGAGUCACCUGAAGCCUCAGUCAGUCACAUCUAGUAGUUGAUGUUGGCUGUUGGUUAGGCCCUCAGCUGGGCUAUUUGCUGGAGCACCUAUACACGACAUGUCCAUGUAGCUGCUUGACUGCCACAGUGUGGUGACUCAAUUCCAGGAUCAGUUGUCCCAAGAGAGCAAGGCAGAAAUGCAUGAGUUUCAUAUGACCUUGUCUCAAAGCCACAUGGAGUCACUUCCACUGUACCCUGUUGGUUGAGGAGGACACAGAGGUCUUCCCAGGUUCAUGGGGAGAAAACGUAGACCUCACCACCCAGUGGAAGAAAUGAUAAUGUCACAUGGUCAAAAAAAAAAAAAAGUUGGAUGGGAUAUAUCGUGGUGUCCAUCUUUGGAAAAGCAGUCUGCCACAUUUGUGAAAAUUUAAAAUCUGGUUUGAAUAUUAACAGAAUUUGAUUUUGAGACUGAUUAGCAAAAAUUUUUAACUGUAAAAUUACAACUUUUUUUAUUGUCCAAAUACACUCUUUCUUUUUGAAGAGAGUACUGGAUUGUGACCAACAAACUCUUGCUCCCUGUAUCCCUAGACUUUUUUUUCUAAGGUUAUCAGUAUCUUUCCCCUUGGUCCUUACUUUUUAUGUGAUCAGUAUAACAGAUGAGACCAACCAGUUUUUAGAAUAUGAUUGCAUAAACCUGUGUACACCUUGGGUGUCAUAAGGAGAAAUUGAUUUUUUUUCUCCAGAAAAUACAUCUUAAGAGAAAGAAAUAGUAACUAGUUCUCAGCCCCUUUCUCCUUUUAUUUUGUGCUGUUGACCAAAGGGUCUUUUAUGUACUGGAUAUUCUGAUUAGAUACCCUCAAAACACAGUGUGACUAUUCUGAAAGCUUAUUGUCUCCAUCACUAUAGAGUAGAUACAUAAUUUUUGCAGUCCUUGUGCUUUGUUUCUCUGACCUCUUCUCUCCUGAGACUAUGAAAUAUGAUGGUGCUUGAGGAAAAUACUGCCAAAAUAGCUCUGCCUUUCUUAAGGUGAUAGGAUGUGAGGAGAAUGGGGAAAGUAUUCUAGCAAUCAGUAGGUCAAGAAAAGGUUGUUGCUGAGUUCAUCCAGCCCUACCAAGUCUUGAUUUCUGUGUAUCAUUUUAGCUGUUUCCCUCAAUAUCCAGAAAGACCAUAGCCAGAUGGAUGAUAAUGCAGAACACAGCAGUGUUUCCCUUUUAGUUACAUAAAGUUUCUACCAAAGCAGAAAAUCAUAGCUAAAAAAAAUGUGAUUUGAGGAUGGUCCAGUUAAGUCCAUCCCUUUCUUCUUGAAUCUCUAAGCCAAGAUGAGACCAGUCUUGAGCGUUUGUUUUCUUCCUUUGUUUGUUUAGUAGAAAUUUUCAAGUGUAUACAAAAGUAAUGAGAACAGUAUAGUGAACUCCCGUGUACCUGUACCCUAACUUCAGCAGUUAUCAGCUCAAGGCUAAUCCUGGAAUGUGUGCUCUCCACUUCCCUUCCGUAAAUGUAUUUUAAAUGCAUUAUUUUAAAGCAGAAUCUUGAUAUUAUUUUAUCUAUAAAUACAUCAAUAUGUAUGUGUAAAAGAGACUCUUUAUAACCACAGUAACAUCACACACUUAAAACUUAGCACUUCUGGGGGCUGUUGAAACAUGCAAAAAGUGUGUCUGUAAUUGGAGAGAAUGAAGCAAAGAUACAUAACAUGAAAAAGGAAAUGAGUUUAAUCUCCAAAGUCCUAGAAGAGGUUUCAGGUCUGUGUUUCAUAUUGAGAGCCACACCCUGUCUCUAUCCCUCUAAUAAAUCCCCUCCUUUUGUGGUAAGACUGGUUUAAGUCAUGGUUAAUACUACUGCUAUCUGGAUAGCUAUUGUUCCUCUUUUUUUCUCUCCAUACUCCUUGAUUUCUCACACCACUCAAUUUAGUUACAACACUAAUGACAUCAGCUCCCAUUUAUUGAAUGCCUAUCACGUACCAGACACUCUACCAAGAACGUGACAUUUAAACCUCACAACAACCCACUGAAGAUGGUAAUUUCCCUGUCUUGUGGAGCAAGAAUUGCAGAUUUACAUGGAUGAGGUCAUUUGUUCGGGUUAUACAGUUAAUAAAUGUGGAACCAAAAUCCUGCUGGAUCUUUUUAAUCCUCAGCCCGUGUUCCCACUCUAUCAUGCUGGACCUAACAGCGUGACAUUUCUUUCCUAAAAACAAUGCAGUUUUGUAGCAUCAAACUGUGACUUGUUCAUGGAAACAUUUCCUCGUCUUCCUAGGCACCUGACUAGACUCCUUUGUUGCAGUUAGGCUUGGUCAUGUGGCUGGGUUCCACCUGUGAAAUGUGGACAGAAGAGAUAUGCCCUGUUUCUUGACCAGGCCCAGUAAAACUUUCCAUUUGCUGUCCUCUAUGCUCUGCUUCUGAUAUCCAGUUUAUGAUGCCUAAAGUGACCUUGGAAACCACAAGUUGACCAUGGCAAAAACUGACAGCCUGUGUCCCUGAGUGAAUAUGCAAUAGAGGCCCCUGCCACCAAUCUCAAGCCUUGAACUGUUUAUAUGAGCAGGCAAUAAACUUCUCGUAUUUAAGCCAUUAUGUAUUUCGGGAUCUAUUUAUUAGAGAAGUUAGCCUUCCUUAAUUUUUAUGUACUGUUUCAGUUAUCCUUUGCUGGGUAACAAACCACCUCAAAAUUUCAGUGGCUUAAAACCAUAGUCUUACCUCAUGAUUCUGUGAAUCAGAAACUUAGACUUUUGCCUCUACUUGUUCAUGUAGCUAAAACCAGCAGGUGGGUCAACAGGGGGCUGAUUGGUCUAGCAUUGCCUUACUCACAUGUCUGGAGAUGAGAGCUGGCUGCUGGCUGCUGGCUGCUGGCUGCUGGCUGCUGGCUGCUGGCUGCUGGCUGCUGGCUGCUGGCUGCUGGCUGGGCCACGUGUCUCCAGCAGGUUUGCCUUGAAUUAUUCACAUCAUAGUGGAAGUGUUCUCAGCAGCAAGAGGGCAAGCCGCAAUCUGCAAGUACUUUUCAGGCUUCUGCUUUUGUGUGUUUGCCAGUAUAUCAUUAUCCAACACAAGUCACAUAGGUAGAGGGAAAUGUAAUCUAUUGGGAAGCAUUUACUGCAGCAAUCUACCAUACAUACUACAGUACUAGUGCACAAUUAGGGAAAUCAUUCACAUAUAUACAACAUCUCAGUCGCAUAUUUGAUUAUAGAGUCCAGCUUUGGAGGCUAUUUUCAUAUCCCCUGAAUCAAGUUCUAAUAUCAGUGUUUUAAUAAAUAGUACAUUGGUCUUGUUUUAAAAUUGCAUUUCAGUUCUGUAUAUAAAAAUGAAAUAUUUACCAAUACAUGAUAAAUUUAGAUUAAUUGAAUUGGCACUAUAGCAAUGAUGUUGUAGCUUAUGGUCCAAAUUUACCUGAGAUUUAAUGGAUCCCCUUUCUCAAGGUCCUGUGCAUUUGUAACCAAAUCUUUGCUUUAAAGCAAUCUUUAAAGGGCUAAACUUAGAUUCACCCUUAUUUAGAGUAACUUUUAAAUAAAUGAUUAAGUUAUAAGUUCAGCAUUUCCUCACUUUCCUUUAACUUUUCCUUUAUUCAGCCACACCAAUCCCCUGCGAGGGCAAGAUGCUCUCUCCCAUUGCUCAGGGCCAAGCACUCUGCAGUGCUUUCCCCACAUGAUGUUACUGACAUGAGAAGCAGUGCGGUGGGUAAAAGCCAGAGUGCUGGAGCCCAGGUUCACAUCCUGUCGUUUCUGCUUGUUGUGUGACCCCGGGCAGUUUAGUUACUUGGUGCCUCAGUUUCUUUACCUAUAAAAUGGGGAUAAUUACCACAACUUGCCUCUUAGGACUGUUGUGAGAAUUAAAUGAGAUAAAGUAUCUUAAAAAGCCCUUAGUUCAGAGCCUAGCCCAGGUUACAAGAAGUCAUGCUGGUUUUCUUUUUUUUUUUUUUUUUUAAUUUCAGCUUCAUUGAGGUAUAAUUGACAAUUUUAUUUUUAAUUACUUUUCAGACCUAUAUGAGAAUGAAAUCUUACACAUAAAUUUAGAUUUGUAGAUUGCCUAUUUUCUUAGAGGCAUGCUAAAAUAUUGAGGUAAAAGGUUUAUGAUGUAUAUGACUUACUUUCAAAUGCUAUAGUGAAAAGAAAAAAUACACUAAAAAUAUACAGAGAAAGAUAAAUAUGGUAAAAUUUUAAUACUUGUUAAUAUAUGUAGGAUAUGAAUGUUCAUUAUAUUAUUUCAAGUUUUCUGUAGGUUUAACAUUUUUCAUAAUAAAAUUUGGAGGGAGGAUGGAAAUACUUUUCCCAUUUCUCACAAUCUCCUGUUUCUCUUUUCAUUCCUUUUUCCUCCCCGUCUCCUAUCUCCCCCAAAUUGUCUCUCAAAUCUCUCCCAAGCAGGGCCUCUUGUCUCUCCUCAGCUACAGGUUAUCUCCUCAUUAUGUACUUAGGAAUAGCAGCAGUGCAGCAUGAGUGCUGAACCAUGCUGACUCUGGAGCCAGGCUGUCUGUGUUGGAAUAUCUGCCAUCCCACCUAGAGCUCUCAAGACUCCCAUUAUUCACCUCUGCUGGAGGCCGGGGGAUCAAUAGCAACGUUAAUGAGUGAGUGAAAAGAAUGCUAGAAACAGAGAACCGCAAGCUGACAUCCAAGAAAGAACUGACGUUCAGCUGUAUGGCUUUAGUGUGCAAAGCCAGGGGCUGCUGUACACAGUGCCAGGCUGGACUUCUGAGGACUCGAAGAAUUGUAACAGCUACUCAGGGGCUGCCAGUCAGCACUCGGACGAAGGUUGAUUUGCACCAUGAAGGCAGGGCUCCUGGAAGUCUCACCUCAGCAGACCUUGGAUGUCUUUCAUUCAUCCAAGACAUGCAGCUGCACAGAGUUGCCCCCAGGGCCAAAACCCACCAACAGGAAAACAGCCUCUCAGAAAUAGACAAUCCGCUUCUCAUCUUCAAAUACUUUGGCCUCCUCUGGCUUUAUCAAGUUCCCGUUUAAGCUGUUGGAGAAGAACAAAGAACACAAAAGUGAGUCCUCAGAGCAGAAACAGGAAGCCAAGAAAGAGCACAGUCAGCUCAAACCCAGCCUGGAAGCCCAGAGAAGGAAAAGAAUGAGCUUCAAACUCCACGUCCACCCAGCCAUCUCUCAGUCUCAUGAGUCCCGGAGUGAUUCACCUUCAGCAGGAAUCCUUCUGCAGGGUGCCCAAUCAAAAACAUGGAGACUACCAGUCUAAACAACAAUUUCUAAGAAACCAUCUGGAGAACCAGCAGUCUGAUGUCUCCUUCCAGGUGGCUAGAGAAAGCAACUCAAACAGCCACGAAGACUCUGCCUGGAGGUGGCCCCUGCCCCGGCUGAUUUGAGGCAGGAAGCAGAAGUGUCGGCCUCGCCAGCAUCUGCUCAGGCUCGAGCAGGACAGGCAGCAGACUGCUCAAGGAGAGGCCAGACAGGAAACGGAACAUCAGCAACACUUGGGACACAGCCAACUGCAGGCUGAGGAGGCCGGGCUGACAUCUCACAGGCAGAUGUUUUUGCUCCAUCCCGGAAGCUGAGGCCUGGAGAUAAAUCCCUGCACCAGCCCCUCAGCGCACUGCUCUAGAGGACAAAGAGCAGUAAAGCCUUGUGAACAGGGUCAGAUCGGUGGCUGCACAAUUAGACACCAAGCCUCACCCCUGAGCUUUCGGAGAGCUGUCAGUCAGCCUCAGCUCAUGACUCCCAGAAGUGUCACCCACAGGGUAUAAGGGCUCGCAGCAGCCCCAAAGGAGGGUGGAGGCGCUGACUCCCACUAACCAGCUGACCCUGCACAGCAGUGAGAGACGUUCUGGAAGACACUGACAUUCCUGCAUGAAGCGAAGAUUAGGAAGCAUUUUCAGAAAACUAAUCAGCAAUGUUCCCUGCAUGUAAAGAGGAUGUCACCAAACAGUUCUACCCAGAUUGCUGCGAUUUGGGUGGGGAGCUGCAAUGACAAAGCCCUGUUCUGUCCACCAGAGUAGAUAAUCUGAGCAGUUCUGGCUAAAUGGAGGGUCUGGGUAAGACAGUGGGCUCCAUCCUGGCCCUGCCACCCACUACUUCUGCCUGCUUGGGCAAAAUACAGUGUCUCCUAGGUCCUAGUCUCCUUGUCUGUAAAGCAGGGAAAGGAGGAGCAGCAUGUCCUCCUAGAGGUGUUGUGAGGAUUAAGUCAGUCAGUACAAGCAAAGCCCUCAGAACAGUGCCGGAGCUUUAAGAAGCGUCAGCUAUUCCUAAGAGGCUGAGGGGCAUUGUCUACAGAAAGCAAGGCUGCCAGGCCCCCCACAACAGCACCAGGGCUGCCCCAGCCACACGUUCUUGCCAAGGAGGCAACCUGCCAACAUCCCCCCACACCAGUAUGACUUGCAAAAGCCCCAGAAUGAGAGUUUUCAGUGUUUUGCAUAAAAAGUGUGUGUACUAGGUACAAUUGAAUAGCAUCAAAGUUUUAGUAAAGUUGAAAACUACUCAUAACAUGAGAUUAAGUAGAAAAGUAGAAUAAAAUAUGACCGCUAUCAUAUUAAAAAAAAAUAGUGUAGAGGGAACACGCAUUGCAUUAGAGAGAGCAGGAAAGCUUAACUGACCUCAGACGUUGACAAUGAUUAUUUCUGAGAAGAUCUCAAUUAUAAUUUCCACAUUUUCCAGCUUAGAGAUAAAAUUUUCUGUUUUUCUUUUAUAAUAAGAUAAAAAGUUGUAACAAUAUAAAAAGCUUUAAAAAACCUCUAGAAUCAAAACCAUUGUAAGGUACCAAUUUACACCCAUUAGGAUGGUUACUGUCAAAAAACCAGAAAAUAACAAGUGUUGGUGAGGAUGUGGAAAAACUGGAACCCUUGAGCACUGUUGGUAGGAACGUAAAAUGGUACAGCUGGUAUGGAAACAAUAUGGUAGUUCCUCAAAAAAGUUAGAAAUAGAAUUACCAUCUGAUCCACAAAUUCCACUUCUAGGUAUAUAGCUGAAAGAAUUGAAAGUAGGGUCUCAAAGAGAUACACGGUGCACACGUGUCCCUAGCAGCAUUCUUCACAAGAGCUGAAAGGUAGACGCAACCCAGGUGUCCACUGACAGAAGAAUGGAUCAACAGAAUGUGGUAUAUAGAUAGAAUGGACUAUUACACAGCCUUAAAAAGGAAGGGAAAGUGACACAUGCCACAACAUGGAUGAACCUUGAGGAUAUUAUGCUGAGUAAAACAAGCCAGUCACAAAAAGACAGAUACUGUAUGACUCAACUUAUGUGACUGCCUACAGCAGUCAUAUUCACAGGGACAGAAAGUAGAAUGGUGAUUGCCAGGGGCUGCAGGGAGGGGAGAAUGGCAAGUUAUUGUUCAGUGGGUAUAGAGUUUCUGUUUUGCAAGAAAGAGUUCUGGAACUGGAUAGUGGUGAUGUUUGCACAACUAUAUGAAUGUAUUUAAUGCCACUGAACUGUACACUUAAAAAUGGUAACUUUUAUGGUAUGUAUAUUUUACCAUAAUAAGAAAAACUGCAUUAAAAAAAGCCUCCAGUGAACAUAUAAUUAUUCUUAAAAUGAAGAACACCUGCCUGUGGUGUUCUUAGGGCUAGGACAGUUCCCUCCAUUUGCAUGAAUUAAAUAAAAAUCCAUGUGAUUGAAAUUGCAGUCGAUCCUGGCACUUCCCAUGCAAGAGCCAGUGGGGCCCACCCUUCAGGGCAUCCGUGGUGGAGGCUCCCUGCAGCUUCUGCCCCACAGCCUGCCCCAGCGGUCCUUUGAUAGACGGACCUACAAAAAGACCAGCAGGCGCUCCUGUACGCAGAGCAGGCUGUAUACGCACAUACACCUGCCCUUGCCUCUACUCACCCAACUUCAAAGAUGGAUUUGCUGUUCUUCACAGCCAGGGCAAGACACUUUCCUCCUUCACUCGUUAUUUUGUUUUUUCCCAGCCUGCCGAGAGAAACGUGCACACAUCAGCUCCAGCCGUGAGGGGGCUCCAGCGUCGGCCACCCUCAUCCUCAGCACAGAGCCCCUUGGGUCCCUCCUGGGAGGUGUGGUCUUUCUCCUGGGACCCACAGCAGCCACGCCCUGGGCUUCCUCUCAGGGAGGGACCCAGAGCCCUGAGCGGAGCCAGUUGGGAUUCCCCUCCAGGAGAUGGUCACAAUCUCUGCAGAAACUCAGGGACCUGAGUUCUCCUGGGGGAUCUUUAAGUGACCUCCGAGCAUCACCCCUUUCUAUCAGCAGAUGGGAAGGUUCUCACAUCAACUGCAAAUGGUCAAGGUAUAGGUUGCCAUCACCAGGGCAGCACCAGGGGCUCCUCCACCUAUGACAGAGCCAAGGAUCAAGCAUUUGCUUGCAACUAUGAUGGCUGCUAUGGUCUUAAAUAUUUGCCCCUUCCACCGCCCAGAAUCCAUAUGUUGAAAUCCUAACCCCAAAGUGGUGGUACUAGGAGGCGGGGCCUUUGGGAAGUGAUAAGGUCAUGGUGGUGGAGCCCUCAUGAAUGGGAUGAGUGAUUUAUGAGGCCCAAGAAAGCUCCCUUUCCCCCUUUCUCACCACCACAUGAGGACACAGUGAGCAGGCACCGUCUAUGAACCAGGAAUCGGGCCCUUACCAGGCACCUAAUCUGCUAGCACUUUGAUCCUGGACACCCUAGCCUCCAGAACUGUGAGAAAUAAAUGUCUGGUGUUUAUAAGAAA